AGCUUUUCAAAUCUCUACUUUGAGCUCCACAUUUCCAUUUCCAUCGUUCACCACCUUCAAAGCUUUCAAGCUUCCAACAUUCCAAGGUUGUGUCCAACUGCUCUUUGCUCAAAGCUCUAUACUUCUUCUUCUAAUCUUCUUAAGUGAUCCAUGUCAAGUUGAAGUGCUGCCCAAAACUCUUACAUCUUUUUGUUGUAUGUUGCACUUUGGUUGAGAGAGGUUGUUCUCAAGACUACCAAGGUGUGAGGUUAUUGAGCUUAACCAAAAAGCUCUAAGUUGGUUUUAUAGAGUUCCCUGGUAAAACUCUUAGGUUGAAUCUACCUGUAAAGAUUCAGUUGAUUUUAUAGAGUUCCCUGGUAAAACUCUUAGGUUGAAUCUACCUGUAAAGAUUCAGUUGGUUUUAUAUAGUUUCCUGGUAAUACUCUUAGGUUGAAUCUACCUGUAACGAUUCAGUUGGUUUUAUAGAGUUUCUUGGUAAUACUCUUAGGUGGAAUCUACCUGUAAAGGAUUCAAGGUUCUUGAGCG
rnacentral:lncRNA from 1 species